rnacentral:lncRNA from 10 species
CCAGGACUCAGGCAAAACCCAGCUGUCCCUGGCGCUGUCUCCCAACAGCCCUGCAGGGCCCAGUGCUGGACCAGGGCCUUGUCUCCAGCCUCUCCCCCAUGGGACUCUGGGGCCUUUGGGGGCCCUUGGGGGCCUUCCUGCACCCUCACACCUACUCAUCUCUGGACUCAGCCUCAGUGUGAAUGCUCACCUCGGGCUGAGCCAACCCCUCCAGACACGUUCUGCAGCUCGAGGAAGGAACUGCCCUUUGCAGCUGGGAUCUGCCCGAGUUUCAGCAGCAGCCUUGAAUUGUAAUCCCGAGCGGCUGGCGAAUAACACAGCACACAGCACUCGAGAGCCCAGGCACGCACAAGCUGCUGGACGUGGAGAGGAGCGGAUUGGCAGAGGAGCACUCAGGCGGCUGGACGUCGAGAGGAACGCACUGACGGGCGCCGGCACCCCGGCAGGCUACCAACCGGCAGCAGAAUGACCUGGAGUUUGGCUGGGGCAGCCAGAGGAGAGCCCGGGCCCGACUCCAGGGGAAAACCGUCCCACUCCAUCUUCUUCUGCCUUCCCCCAUCUGCUACCUCCACUCAAUAAAACCUUGCACUCAUUCUCCGAGC